rnacentral:rRNA from 1 species
UAGGGAAUCUUCGGCAAUGGACGAAAGUCUGACCGAGCAACGCCGCGUGAGUGAAGAAGGUUUUCGGAUCGUAAAACUCUGUUGUUAGAGAAGAACAAGGACGUUAGUAACUGAACGUCCCCUGACGGUAUCUAACCAGAAAGCCACGGCUAACUACGUGCCAGCAGCCGCGGUAAUACGUAGGUGGCAAGCGUUGUCCGGAUUUAUUGGGCGUAAAGCGAGCGCAGGCGGUUUCUUAAGGCUGAUGUGAAAGCCCCCGGCUCAACCGGGGAGGGUCAUUGGAAACUGGGGGACUUGAGUGCAGAAGAGGAGAGUGGAAUUCCAUGUGUAGCGGUGAAAUGCGUAGAUAUAUGGAGGAACGACAGUGGAGGAGGCGGCUCUCUGGUCUGUAACUGACGAUGAGGCGAGAAAGCGUGGGGAGCAAACAGG